GGGCCGUUAGCUCAGCUGGUAGAGCGCUACACUCGCAUUGUAGAGGUCAGCGGUUCGAUUCCGCUACGGUCCACCU
rnacentral:tRNA from 1 species